CCUACGGGAGGCAGCAGUGGGGAAUCUUGCGCAAUGGGCGAAAGCCUGACGCAGCCAUGCCGCGUGAAUGAUGAAGGUCUUAGGAUUGUAAAAUUCUUUCACCGGGGACGAUAAUGACGGUACCCGGAGAAGAAGCCCCGGCUAACUUCGUGCCAGCAGCCGCGGUAAUACGAAGGGGGCUAGCGUUGCUCGGAAUUACUGGGCGUAAAGGGAGCGUAGGCGGAUAGUUUAGUCAGAGGUGAAAGCCCAGGGCUCAACCUUGGAAUUGCCUUUGAUACUGGCUAUCUUGAGUAUGGGAGAGGUUAGCGGAACUCCGAGUGUAGAGGUGAAAUUCGUAGAUAUUCGGAAGAACACCAGUGGCGAAGGCGGCUAACUGGCCCAUUACUGACGCUGAGGCUCGAAAGCGUGGGGAGCAAACAGGAUUAGAUACCCUGGUAGUCCACGCCGUAAACGAUGAGUGCUAGUUGUCGGCAUGCAUGCAUGUCGGUGACGCAGCUAACGCAUUAAGCACUCCGCCUGGGGGAGGUACGGUCGCAGAUAAACUACAAGAAGUAGACGCGNGAGACGUGCCGACGACGACGACGAGGGAGUAGG
rnacentral:rRNA from 1 species